rnacentral:rRNA from 1 species
UUUAUGGAGAGUUUGAUCCUGGCUCAGGAUGAACGCUGGCGGCGUGCCUAAUACAUGCAAGUCGAGCGAACGGACGAGAAGCUUGCUUCUCUGAUGUUAGCGGCGGACGGGUGAGUAACACGUGGAUAACCUACCUAUAAGACUGGGAUAACUUCGGGAAACCGGAGCUAAUACCGGAUAAUAUUAGCUAGUUGGUAAGGUAACGGCUUACCAAGGCAACGAUGCAUAGCCGACCUGAGAGGGUGAUCGGCCACACUGGAACUGAGACACGGUCCAGACUCCUACGGGAGGCAGCAGUAGGGAAUCUUCCGCAAUGGGCGAAAGCCUGACGGAGCAACGCCGCGUGAGUGAUGAAGGUCUUCGGAUCGUAAAACUCUGUUAUUAGGGAAGAACAUAUGUGUAAGUAACUGUGCACAUCUUGACGGUACCUAAUCAGAAAGCCACGGCUAACUACGUGCCAGCAGCCGCGGUAAUACGUAGGUGGCAAGCGUUAUCCGGAAUUAUUGGGCGUAAAGCGCGCGUAGGCGGUUUUUUAAGUCUGAUGUGAAAGCCCACGGCUCAACCGUGGAGGGUCAUUGGAAACUGGAAAACUUGAGUGCAGAAGAGGAAAGUGGAAUUCCAUGUGUAGCGGUGAAAUGCGCAGAGAUAUGGAGGAACACCAGUGGCGAAGGCGACUUUCUGGUCUGUAACUGACGCUGAUGUGCGAAAGCGUGGGGAUCAAACAGGAUUAGAUACCCUGGUAGUCCACGCCGUAAACGAUGAGUGCUAAGUGUUAGGGGGUUUCCGCCCCUUAGUGCUGCAGCUAACGCAUUAAGCACUCCGCCUGGGGAGUACGACCGCAAGGUUGAAACUCAAAGGAAUUGACGGGGACCCGCACAAGCGGUGGAGCAUGUGGUUUAAUUCGAAGCAACGCGAAGAACCUUACCAAAUCUUGACAUCCUUUGACAACUCUAGAGAUAGAGCCUUCCCCUUCGGGGGACAAAGUGACAGGUGGUGCAUGGUUGUCGUCAGCUCGUGUCGUGAGAUGUUGGGUUAAGUCCCGCAACGAGCGCAACCCUUAAGCUUAGUUGCCAUCAUUAAGUUGGGCACUCUAAGUUGACUGCCGGUGACAAACCGGAGGAAGGUGGGGAUGACGUCAAAUCAUCAUGCCCCUUAUGAUUUGGGCUACACACGUGCUACAAUGGACAAUACAAAGGGCAGCGAAACCGCGAGGUCAAGCAAAUCCCAUAAAGUUGUUCUCAGUUCGGAUUGUAGUCUGCAACUCGACUACAUGAAGCUGGAAUCGCUAGUAAUCGUAGAUCAGCAUGCUACGGUGAAUACGUUCCCGGGUCUUGUACACACCGCCCGUCACACCACGAGAGUUUGUAACACCCGAAGCCGGUGGAGUAACCUUUUAGGAGCUAGCCGUCGAAGGUGGGACAAAUGAUUGGGGUGAAGUCGUAACAAGGUAGCCGUAUCGGAAGGUGCGGCUGGAUCACCUCCUUU